CUGGCAAUGUAGUAAAAUGCUGGGACAACAAGUUGUAACAAUAAAGUGUUGAUAUCAAUUGAAAUCAGUUUAUUAUCAAGUAUUUCUGAAUUUACUUCUAUAGCGACACAAUUGUACUCAGUGAUUUACAAGGUAUAAACAUACACAGGCUACAGUUCUAUUGAGUUAUACAGUAACAGUAGAGACAUCUGUGCUGUCUAAUCGCUUAGUGGGAUGAAGAGCUUACACUUUAUUGGGUUAUGUCAAAUACAUCAUUUCUUUAUGGCAUUAAUUCACCAGUGUAUUUUAUAACUCCGCCCACCAAUCAUUAUGUACUUCUGUUGACUUUUGUUGCCUAGGUGAUGUCAUUGUGAUGUCAUGUGAUGUCAUAAUGGACAGAAUGAAGGUGUCCAGCUGCAGCCCAGAUUGGCUCAUUCUUUGUCAGGAGACUGAGAAAGAAAUUUCUUCAUUCACAAAAUGUGGAAGAGAAUCAAAUCUUGUUUUUCUUGCUUUCGCAAG